rnacentral:sRNA from 1 species
CCAAAUUUUUUCACCCCGCUUUCCCCCUAAAUAAAAAAAACUAAUUCGCCAUGAGUGAAGCAAAGAAUUUGAUGACCACCUUCGGCAUUUUGGCCAUUUUGUUAUUCGCCCUGUAUAUCAUCUAUGCAGUAUUGUAGAUUUCUUACUAACAUGGCGCGGCGGAAGAGCAAUCCAGCAAAC